CACCUCGACCCUGGCCAGGCCGAGCCAAAUCCCCCCGGCCGCCGCCGCACCACUCGCCACCGCGCCCGACCUCAACCCGCCCGCCGCCGCGGCUGCACCUCUGCCUGCUCGCGGGCCUCCACCCAUGCGCCCCGCUUUGCGAUGCAACGCGCGACGUCCUCCGCUGCCAAAUCAGCGCCCAUCGGGCCACACUCUGCACCGGCUGCCCCACGCUCGCCGAGAUCCUCCGCAUCCUCUCCGUGAAGCGGCGUCGUCACGGGUGGACUUCGAUGCCUGGCUCGCCUACAACCUCCCCCAAAUCCUACAUGAGGUUCAGGCAUACUGCCUUGAUUAUGGUGACCACCACCAAUCCACCACUUGGCUGGCUGUCUUUAUAUUGUCACAUUGAUGGACUGUUACAUGGUACAUGGAAAUCUGAAGUCAUUUUUACAUAUUUGCACACAUGAAUGGCAUGCUUGCCGAUGGAAAGUGCGGCUUUCGGGUCAGCCCUUCAUGACAUUGAUUGUGUGCUACUGCUGCUGAUUUUGCUGCUGCUUAAUACUAACCUAUACUGCUGCUGAUUUAGUUGCAAAUUGAACUUACUAUCUGUUAUCUUUUCUCUAAUAUUUCUCAAGAUCAGAUCCUCUUUUUAGCUCUCUAUUGCAAAAUUACUUAAUAUACAAUGUGUUCAAUAAAAAUCAUGAAACACUUAACUCCUUAUUGAUUUCAUUGUCCCUUUUCCUUACAAUUUUCCGUCUAAUGUGUGUCGCUUCCAAUUGCAUUGAAGAUAUAUUAUUAUUUUUCACAAAAAAGAAAGUAUGAUUUCAACGUCAUCUGCCUAUGCUCCACCUGGGGUACGACGUUGUACAACUUGAUUACUAUAUUUUAUAUGAUCAGACCAUGAAUAGCCUUGAAGUAGCACACCCCUUGCUGUUGUAACUAUUACACCGUCGUAUAAUAUGAGUAUGAGAUUCUACAUGAUCAAACAAUGUAUAGCCUUGAAGUAUCAAGUUCCCUUGCUGUUGUAACUUUCAACAUGGAUUUUUGCUAUUGUUCUAUUGCUUAACAUGAUUUCUGAUACGUAAUAACUACUCCCUCUGUUUUUUAAAUAUAAGUCUUUUUAGAGAUUUCAAUACGAACAACAUAUGGAUGUAUAUAGACGUUUUUUAGAGUUUAGAUUCACUCAUUUUGCUCCGUAUAUAGUCUAUAGUGGAAUCUCUAGAAAGACAUAUAUUUAGGAACGGAGGGAGUAUAUGAUUUUUAUUUAUGUGAUGUUAGUUUGAUCCAACUGGAAUUCGUAGUGUUGAAGAAUGAUGCCACAUGAUGUAAAUAGGUUUGAUUUAAGUGAUAUUGUGCAUGUUGUUCAUAGAAACGUAUGCUGUUCUUGCACAUUGAUCGAAGACAAGCAUGCUGGUGUUGUUGCAGACUCAUAGUUGUUAUAUUUCAUGUAUUUUCCAUAAUCAUGUAUGGAUAUUUCUAUUUACUGCUUUAAACCAUGCCUAAUAUCAUUAGAAUUCAUUACCCAUAGUAUGUCCCAUAACAAGAGAUUUGCAGCCAAGUAUCAAUUGUCAUGCAGAUAUUGAGUUCAACACUUCAGCUACCUCAAUUGCACAUGAGAAAAAUGAUACUUCUAAGUGCCCGAAAUGAUACUUCUAAUUGCACAUGUGAUUUACUAAACAUAUUUUGGUUUAUGAUCCCCUUUGGCGUACACUUGUGCCCGCCCCAUUAUUUUCAGUUUGCAAAUUUUUUUGAAAGAAAGGGGGUUUCCCUCGAUUUCAUUAACGAACCCAUAAAUCUGUUUAUUACAGCCAGAACGCACCCAUCAGUUUGCAAAAUAGUAGGUAAGGAACGACAGAAAGUGGAUUGUUCAGUUUUUCAAGCAUAAUGGCACACCUAAUUUUGGCAGAUCACUUGGCUUUGAGGUUUUCGCAUGACUAUAUGAGGUUCUCAUAAACUCAUGUAUUGCCACAAUAUCUUCUUUUAAUGUACUAGGGAAUUGUCUUUUUUAUCUCAGGUAAAUAGCUCCUUUCUCACCCGUUUUUCCAGACUGAGAUCAAGAUAGGGAGGGAGGGAGCUUUGGUUAGGUCGAGGUUGGAGGAUAUACACGCUCAUUGUGGCUGCAAUUUGUACAUGACAAUACAUAGAUUGGAAUUGAGAUUUGGAGCCAUUUUGUUGGUUUUUGCUUUGUACUGAUGCUGCCAUUAUUUGUGUGAUGGUGUCAUUAUUGUACAGAGGGAAGGGACAGUGAGAGAGAUGGGUAGAAAUUUCUAUUUUUGUUGUAAUUAUUUGUUGUCCAAGCUUAUUAUUUAUUGGUUGUUGUAGGUUGUUGUGAUGGAAAGUUAACAGUACUUUUGAUUAUUUCAAGGCAAUGUCAGAUUUAAUAAUUUGAACUA